GGUCACACAAGAGACCCAAAUUAACAGUAUACGGCGUAAAGAGUGGUAUCAUGUUAUCGUAACAACUAAGAUGAAAGUGCAACUGAGCUGUCAUAAGCCCAAGGUGCUCCUAAGGCCGCCCUCAAGACGAUCUUAGCACACACGACCAAUUAAACCCCACGAAAGCUAGGACACAAACUGGGAUUAGAUACCCCACUAUGCCUAGCCCUAAAUCUCGAUGCUUGGCCCACCAAAGCAUCCGCCUGAGAACUACGAGCACAAACGCUUAAAACUCUAAGGACUUGGCGGUGCCCCAAACCCACCUAGAGGAGCCUGUCCUAUAAUCGAUAACCCACGAUGCACCCAACCAUUCCUUGCCAAAACAGCCUACAUACCGCCGUCGCCAGCUCACCUCCCCUGAGAGCACAACAGUGAACAUAAUAGCCCUAACCCGCUAGCAAGACAGGUCAAGGUAUAGCUCACGGAAUGGAAGAGAUGGGCUACAUUUUCUAAAAUAGAAAACUUAACGAAAAGGAGUGUGAAACCACUCCUAGAAGGCGGAUUUAGCAGUAAAGCGGGAUAAUAAAGCCCCCUUUAAGUUGGCCCCUGGGGCACGUACAUACCGCCCGUCACCCUCCUCACAAGCUACCAAACACCCAUAACUAAUACACCCACCAGCUGAAGAUGAGGUAAGUCGUAACAAGGUAAGUGUACCGGAAGGUGCACUUAGCACACCAAGGCG
rnacentral:ncRNA from 1 species